rnacentral:rRNA from 1 species
UACGUAGGGUGCAAGCGUUGUCCGGAAUUAUUGGGCGUAAAGAGCUCGUAGGCGGUCUGUCGCGUCGGCUGUGAAAACUCGGGGCUCAACCGCAGGCCUGCAGUCGAUACGGGCAGACUAGAGUGCUGUAGGGGAGACUGGAAUUCCUGGUGUAGCGGUGAAAUGCGCAGAUAUCAGGAGGAACACCGGUGGCGAAGGCGGGUCUCUGGGCAGUAACUGACGCUGAGGAGCGAAAGCGUGGGGAGCGAAUAGG